CAAGUCGAACGGGAAUCUUCGGAUUCUAGUGGCGGACGGGUGAGUAACGCGUAAGAAUCUAACUUCAGGACGGGGACAACAGUUGGAAACGACUGCUAAUACCCGAUGUGCCGCAAGGUGAAAACUAAUUGGCCUGAAGAAGAGCUUGCGUCUGAUUAGCUAGUUGGUGGGGUAAGAGCCUACCAAGGCGACGAUCAGUAGCUGGUCUGAGAGGAUGAGCAGCCACACUGGGACUGAGACACGGCCCAGACUCCUACGGGAGGCAGCAGUGGGGAAUUUUCCGCAAUGGGCGAAAGCCUGACGGAGCAACGCCGCGUGAGGGAGGAAGGUCUUUGGAUUGUAAACCUCUUUUCUCAAGGAAGAAGUUCUGACGGUACUUGAGGAAUCAGCCUCGGCUAACUCCGUGCCAGCAGCCGCGGUAAUACGGGGGAGGCAAGCGUUAUCCGGAAUUAUUGGGCGUAAAGCGUCCGCAGGUGGUCAGCCAAGUCUGCCGUCAAAUCAGGUUGCUUAACGACCUAAAGGCGGUGGAAACUGGCAGACUAGAGAGCAGUAGGGGUAGCAGGAAUUCCCAGUGUAGCGGUGAAAUGCGUAGAGAUUGGGAAGAACAUCGGUGGCGAAAGCGUGCUACUGGGCUGUAUCUGACACUCAGGGACGAAAGCUAGGGGAGCGAAAGGGAUUAGAUACCCCUGUAGUCCUAGCCGUAAACGAUGGAUACUAGGCGUGGCUUGUAUCGACCCGAGCCGUGCCGAAGCUAACGCGUUAAGUAUCCCGCCUGGGGAGUACGCACGCAAGUGUGAAACUCAAAGGAAUUGACGG
rnacentral:rRNA from 1 species